CGAUGACAUCAGACGCUGAUCACGGGAGGACGCGCGGCGUAAACGAUGAUAAAUGGCGUCAGCCGCCGUCAUCGUGCAGCCUCGGCUUCUGUUGGAAAGGAAUGUGUGAUCUCAGGAUCCUGAAGGAGGCGGCGUGAACGAGCGCCAGCGCCCGGGAACGCUCAGGGUGUCAAAAUAAGAGAAGAAUUACCCGGAAUUUGAUAUUAAAGCACAGCGGCGCUAAUUAGGAACGAUGCGAAACCCAGUCUGGGUUCAUAAUGAGCUGUUGCCUUGGAAUCGUGGGAAGCUGGGGAGCGCGUGGCCAAACAGUGGACGUUCCACAACAGGAAGUGACAUCAGUGUCAAAGACGCAACUCUAGCAGGCCGGAGACCUCAGAGACGGGUGGGACCAGGACAGGCGGCGGAUCGCGCCUCUGAGAACACAACAAGGUCUUUCCAGCGGAUUCAGGCACUUCAGCUGUUGCCAUGUUCAGAUCAGCUCCUCAACACUCGCUGCUCCUUCGUCCUGUAGCAGCACCAGCGGAGACAAGUGGAGCGGACAUCUGCGGCUAAUCGCAUUCCUGCUCCUGGUGCAGCGCAAAGCUAUGGAGGCGUGCACGUGGAGGCGUGCACGUGGAUGUGUGCACGUCGAAGCUUAAAGGAUUUCAU
rnacentral:lncRNA from 1 species